GAAUGCUGACAUAAGUAACGAUAAAGCGGGUGAAAAGCCCGCUCGCCGGAAGACCAAGGGUUCCUGUCCAACGUUAAUCGGGGCAGGGUGAGUCGACCCCUAAGGCGAGGCCGAAAGGCGUAGUCGAUGGGAAACGGGUUAAUAUUCCCGUACUUGGUGUUACUGCGAAGGGGGGACGGAGAAGGCUAUGUUGGCCGGGCGACGGUUGUCCCGGUUUAAGCGUGUAGGUGUGUGUUCCAGGUAAAUCCGGUUCACUUUAACACUGAGGCGUGACGACGAGGCACUACGGUGCUGAAGCAACAAAUGCCCUGCUUCCAGGAAAAGCCUCUAAGCAUCAGGUAACAUCAAAUCGUACCCCAAACCGACACAGGUGGUCAGGUAGAGAAUACCAAGGCGCUUGAGAGAACUCGGGUGAAGGAACUAGGCAAAAUGGUGCCGUAACUUCGGGAGAAGGCACGCUGACACGUAGGUGAAGUGAUUUACUCAUGGAGCUGAAGUCAGUCGAAGAUACCAGCUGGCUGCAACUGUUUAUUAAAAACACAGCACUGUGCAAACACGAAAGUGGACGUAUACGGUGUGACGCCUGCCCGGUGCCGGAAGGUUAAUUGAUGGGGUCAGCGCAAGCGAAGCUCCUGAUCGAAGCCCCGGUAAACGGCGGCCGUAACUAUAACGGUCCUAAGGUAGCGAAAUUCCUUGUCGGGUAAGUUCCGACCUGCACGAAUGGCGUAAUGAUGGCCAGGCUGUCUCCACCCGAGACUCAGUGAAAUUGAACUCGCUGUGAAGAUGCAGUGUACCCGCGGCAAGACGGAAAGACCCCGUGAACCUUUACUAUAGCUUGACACUGAACAUUGAGCCUUGAUGUGUAGGAUAGGUGGGAGGCUUUGAAGUGUGGACGCCAGUCUGCAUGGAGCCGACCUUGAAAUACCACCCUUUAAUGUUUGAUGUUCUAACGUGGACCCGUUACCCGGGUUGCGGACAGUGUCUGGUGGGUAGUUUGACUGGGGCGGUCUCCUCCUAAAGAGUAACGGAGGAGCACGAAGGUUGGCUAAUCCUGGUCGGACAUCAGGAGGUUAGUGCAAUGGCAUAAGCCAGCUUGACUGCGAGCGUGACGGCGCGAGCAGGUGCGAAAGCAGGUCAUAGUGAUCCGGUGGUUCUGAAUGGAAGGGCCAUCGCUCAACGGAUAAAAGGUACUCCGGGGAUAACAGGCUGAUACCGCCCAAGAGUUCAUAUCGACGGCGGUGUUUGGCACCUCGAUGUCGGCUCAUCACAUCCUGGGGCUGAAGUAGG
rnacentral:rRNA from 2 species